ACGGAGGGGGCUAGCGUUAUUCGGAAUUACUGGGCGUAAAGCGCACGUAGGCGGAUCGACAAGUCAGAGGUGAAAUCCCAGGGCUCAACCUUGGAACUGCCUUUGAAACUGUCGGUCUUGAGGUCGAGAGAGGUGAGUGGAAUUCCGAGUGUAGAGGUGAAAUUCGUAGAUAUUCGGAGGAACACCAGUGGCGAAGGCGGCUCACUGGCUCGAUACUGACGCUGAGGUGCGAAAGCGUGGGGAGCAAACAGG
rnacentral:rRNA from 1 species